GAGGCGAGCGCGGCCGCGCCUGGAACAUGGUCGGGGAAAUGGAAACGAAGGAGAAGCCCAAGCCCAGCCCGGAUUACCUGAUGCAGCUCAUGAACGACAAGAAGCUCAUGAGCAGCCUGCCCAACUUCUGCGGCAUCUUCAACCACCUCGAGCGGCUGCUGGACGAGGAAAUUAGCAGAGUACGGAAAGACAUGUACAAUGACACAUUAAAUGGCAGUACAGAGAAAAGGAGUGCAGAGUUGCCUGAUGCUGUGGGACCUAUUGUUCAGUUGCAAGAGAAACUUUAUGUGCCUGUAAAAGAAUACCCAGAUUUUAAUUUCGUUGGGAGAAUCCUUGGACCGCGAGGACUCACAGCGAAACAGCUGGAAGCAGAAACAGGAUGUAAGAUAAUGGUCCGAGGCAAAGGCUCAAUGCGGGAUAAGAAGAAGGAGGAACAAAAUAGAGGCAAACCCAACUGGGAGCAUCUCAAUGAAGAUUUACAUGUACUGAUCACUGUGGAAGAUGCUCAGAACAGAGCAGAGAUCAAGCUGAAGAGAGCUGUUGAGGAAGUGAAGAAAUUGCUGGUACCUGCAGCGGAGGGAGAGGACAGUCUGAAGAAGAUGCAGCUGAUGGAGCUGGCGAUUCUGAACGGCACCUACAGAGAUGCCAACAUCAAAUCACCAGCCCUUGCCUUUUCUCUUGCAGCAACAGCCCAGGCUGCCCCACGGAUCAUCACGGGGCCCGCGCCUGUCCUCCCGCCCGCCGCCCUGCGCACCCCUGCGCCCGCCGGUCCCACCAUAAUGCCUUUGAUCAGACAGAUACAGACCGCUGUCAUGCCAAACGGGACUCCUCACCCGACUGCUGCCAUAGUUCCUCCCGGGCCCGAGGCUGGUUUGAUCUACACGCCCUACGAGUACCCCUACACCUUGGCACCAGCAACUUCUAUCCUUGAGUACCCUAUUGAGCCUAGUGGUGUAUUAGAGUGGAUUGAAAUGCCAGUCAUGCCUGAUAUUUCAGCCCAUUGACUUGCUGGACGAAGGACUGGAAUGCAGCAGCUGCUGUAACACGACCAGUCAAUGCGGAACACACUGUCUCUGGGCUGCCCCUGGGUUUUCCAGACAGAAUCCGAAUCCUUUGUUUUUCCAGACAGAGCUGAAUACUUUUUUUCCUUGAAUUGUACAUGACCAUGGUGCUGCAUGCAUGCUGUUGACUUUUAGGACUUUGAUCUUUCAAAAAAUUUUUUUCCAGCCUUAAUAUUGACUUAAAAAAUUCGAAAGUCUCUAAUGAACCUGGACACUAAGAUUUAAACUUGAAAAGUCAUUGUUCAGUUAAAGCCACGAUGCUCUGUAUGUUAUCUGUGUGUGCAUGCACUCUGGUGCCCUUGGUUUCUCCAGCAAAUACAUGGAUUGUACUUGUUUCCCGUUCAUCUCUAAAUCACUGUACGAAGCGUUGUAGGUCAGAAUUCUGCCCUAGAGCUGUUGACGAGAGGCUUGUUUUGUUGCACAUUCUUAAGCAUUUUUAAAAUAACCUGUAACAUGUAACCCGUUUGCCUUUCCCUUUCUGUUAACCUCUGUCUCGUGGCCCCACGCCUGCCCCCCUCCCCCAGAGCUCCUCUCUGCUGCACGCACAGCGUCUGUUGGAGGAGUUUGACUGUUGCUUCCUGCAGGGCUGGCACUCUUAGCCACCAGCUGCUGUUCCAGCACUCUCCAUGCAAGAUCUUGCUGAUUUUGCUUCCUGGAAUUACACUCGUACGAGAUUAGUUCAUCUGAAACGGAAAGGGGGUGAUGGACCAGUUUACUGCUUAGAAACAGCAAGAGGCACUGCAGUAACAUUUGUUUUUCAUUUGAAAUCGUGUGUUUUUUCUCUUGUUGGGAAAGUUUCAUUUACAGUACGUACUUACCGGACCAACAAAAUUAAAAGCCAAAGAAAAGAUGCCUGAUCGACAUUCUUAAGAUGAACCAUGAAUAUCAAAUGAAAACCAUCCAUUCCGAUCAGUUGUAUUUCUCGCCCUGCCACCUAAGCAGUAAAACGCGCAAACUGAGAAAAUGCCUUCAAAUUGCCAAGUUGUGAUAAAUUUGCACACAGAUAACAUGCAUGCCCUCUGUCAAGUCUCACACCGUGCUAUUUUCAAAGCAGUGCCCUUCAAAAACAGAUGCAGACAGUGUGUUGGUGGUAGUGAGGAGAUUGGUAUUAGCAUCAAGUCUUCAUUGAUGACUAAUUUUUAAUUCCCUUCCUUUUAUCUUCAGGUAUGGCUUUCCCAACGAAAGGCUAAGAAUUCAAGAACGGUCUUAACUGAACCCUCAUCAGAUCUGAAUUUAACAAAUGCUUAGUCUCAGCCAGCCUUCGGGGCGGGGGGGCGGGGGGAAGCUUAGCCUAGCAGUCAGUGACUUACUUGCACUUUUUUGCACACUGAUAGAAAGUAAAAACGUGUCAUUAAUUUGGUUUAGUCUGUCACCUUACAAAGUAACGGUCCUUUCUAAAGGAGUGUAUAGUAGUAUACUGACUGCUAAGUGUACUAUACUGUUUGCUUUACUAAUCACCUAAUUCAUUGCAGUUCAUACUUAUUGACUCAGAGUUUCAAACCACAGUCUGUAGGCUUUAAGAAUUGCUUUUAAACCUUGUUAAGUGAUAAGCUCUGGAAGUGGUCUUACGGUUAGCAGGUAAUUGUCAGUAUUAAACGUGGCAUUAUUGAAGUCGUCCUGCCGCAAGAGAGGCACUUCCGUGAAUAUGUGACUAGUACAGCCUUGAACUAGGUGUGACUGAUCGAAUCCAUGAGAUGCUGUAACUCGGGCCCGUAAACGAACGGACAAAGAGAGGUUAAGGCCAAGACUUCCGAAACGAAUGCAGUAUUAAUAGACGCGUAGAAUCCGCAGCACACGGUUGAGUUUUAAACUACUGUGCCUUAACGUGUUUCUCGCAGCGAAACUUUUGUAGUCAAUGAACAUUUGAAGUCCUUUUGAUAAACCUGCUGUUACUGUUUGUUUCCCCCCGUGAAUGUUUUCUAACUUUGUCUUGGUGAUUGCAAUUUAACUAGGUGCGGUGGCCACUAAAGUUCGGAGGCACGAUAUGCGUGUCCAUCCUUACCAAAGGAUUGUGACCGCAGACCGAGCCGCCACCGGCAACUAACCUAUGACCUUCUGACCUCUGAACUCUUCACCCAAUGAUGACCUGACCAUGCCUGCCUGCUGAUCAGUUAACUGGUAAUCGCCUUUGCUUGCCUGUCGUCAGUGCAGCGAGCUGAGGCACUUGUCCGUUCGUCUUACCAUCUAACCAAACAAAAGACAGAGAAAUGGUUGUCCUCCAACUCAGCUUUUCCCCCCCUCCUGAUUGGGUGAAAGUGGUUCUAGAAUCUGCACUGAAUAGUAGUAAAGCAAUAAGGCCCAAUUCAUCCCGCAGCACUGAUCAUCUGUCAAUGUCCCACCCUAAGCGAACGAACGGUAAGAAGGCCUCGCUCGGAAGGGGAGCCCGGCGGCCCUUAGCUACUCAGUGACAGAGGCAGUUACUGUGAGAGACUCCUAGGACCUUCUCUCCUCAGAGCGAGUCGCAGCUCUCUGAAUGUACUGUGUGGUGAUGCAUCAUGCAUGAACCUUCGGUCAGGGAUGUCAUUGGUGAAGUGAUUUCGAAAAGUAUUCAAAAUUUGAUAUGCUCUUUAGUCACUACAGUGCCCUCAGAGGGCAGAAGUUGCAGCCUUUUUUAUAUCAUAGCCUGCCAAAAAUGGAAGUAUUAAAAGUGUGCCAUGAAAGAAAAAAAACUUAAUAAAGAAUUUUAAAACGUAAUUCAAAGAACAAAACUGCAACACUAUUUUUAAACAGACAGAUCUCCGAGUUAAAAUUACUGAACCUUUAUUUUCCAACUCCUUAAAAAGUAGUACACGAGAACAAGGUACAUGCAUUAUGUGUCACAUUACUGGGCAAACUGUUCAAGUAUUUUUUUUAAACCUCCCUGUAUAGAAGAAAAUCAUUAAGGAUGUAAAAGCCAUGCUUGCCUAUUUGCUGUAUACAUGUAAUGAAAUUGUAGAUAAAGUGUAGUGCAUUGAAACAAAUGAACAAAAAGUAGAUACUUUUACUAUACAAGGGUGCUGGUGCAGAAAAAAUAUAUAUAUUUUUGGAAAUGUAGCAUUUUAUACUUUCAAGUGUUAUAAAAAAAAAAGAAAAAGAACAAAGAAACCCUUUAUUUCAUUAAAUAAUUUUUUCCGGUGGUUGUCAAGAAACAAAAGACCAAAAGAGCCUUUUUGUCUUUCUUUUUUAUUUUUUAAGUAUUGGAAUAAGUCUAAAGAAAAGAAAGUGCCUUAUUUUCCUUCAUGGUCACUUAGUCUAAGCGUCUCGUAAGAUCAGCUCCUCCCUCCAAAUAUGAGUUCAUGCAUGUUACUCAGUCGCCCAGUAUGUGAAGGAAGACAGGAGGGGAGGCAGAUGCGUUGAUGGAUUGAAUUAGAUGAUUUUUGGCCACUUUACCUGGAUACAAAUUUGCCAAAUCUGAUACUGUGAAGAAUUUGAUAAUUUUUCUAAUACCUGACAAGUUUUUUAAAACAUCAUUCUCUUAAAAUCAUAACGGAGUGCUUUUGGUUAUUAGAAUAUUUAAUGUUCAAAGGAUUUGGAGAUUAAAAAUUAUGUGUGAUCUGAACAUCAGUUUACAGACAAAUUAGAGCUUCAUUUUAUUCAAGGGGGGGGGGUUGGAUUUUUUUUUUUUCUUAGUAAUUUGAAGUAAUAGUUUACCUACCAAGCAGGAAUAUUUGUGAUUUGCAUUCUGGGAAAAUGAUCCAAAUUGAACCUGACUUCUUUCUCCCGUAUAGAUAACAGUAGUCCCAUCUCUUUGCUGGGCUGAGUAGCCUAAGCCACCCCACCCCGUCUUUCUUUUUCAAACUUUAAAAAGAUGUGAAAAACUCGCAUCGCUGUGCAUCUCCUCAACUCCCUGUGCACUGAGGCUUCAGGCUUCUCGUGAAGCUCAGUGGUGUAGUUGAAGUGACUGCACAGGACUUCCGUCUAACAUGCAGGUAAAUGAUCGUUCACUGCACAGUACCAGAUGUGGCAAACGUCAAGGGGCAGAGGACCCCGGCUUCUCAGCUGUCCCCUCCUAACAUGCCUUCCCAGCGUCACGAUCAGAGGUCAGCAGUCCGCUCCAGGGGCACCUCGGUGGUGACCUCAGCAGUAAGCUCAGUGGGCAUCUUGGUGGCGGCCUCCCCAUCAUCCUGUCUCACUCGGAAACCGUUUGAAGUUGAUUUACUAUGCAAUAGACAUUCAUCGUUUGUAUUCAGCUAGCUUUGGUUUAAUGUGCCACUGCUUUGUCUUUCUGUUACACAUACAGUUGUUUUGACUUACAAUAUCUGCUGUGCCAUUGCGAUUUUUCUUUUGGUUGGUUGAAUAAAUUUGCGACACUCAAACCCUUGAGGUGACAGUAGUGGAAAAACGAUUCAGUAUUGAUCCAGUUUCAUCUCAACUAUGUAUGUUCCACUUGGACAUUUUAGAUGUUUAUCAAAGGUCUUUUAUGGGGAAGAAAGUAAAUUUAUGAAAAUAAAUGUGUGACAUUUAUGAGUAACGUUGGCUCUGAACAAACUUUUGAAAACUUAGUUGACAAAAUUUUGGAUCAACUGAAAAAAAACGCAUGAUUUUUGAAAUCUCUGAAUGCCUUAGUUCUCAGUAUUACCAUUAUUGAAUUUAUUUCUUAUUACAAUAUGUCGUUUUUAAGACUUUUUUCUGACAGUAUUAUGUAAUUUUUUAGUGUGGGUAGAUGGGAGUGUCGCUAGUAUGUUACCGUACAGCUGACAUGUAUUUUUGUCUGUUCUUUAUUAUCUUAGUAGUUUCAUGCUGUGUAUGUACCAUAACCAACCUAUUGCCUAUGAGAAACAUGUAAGAUAAUGUAUUUACAGCCAUUGUUACAAGUUUAUAAUGUAUUUUUCUAUCUUGUUUUAUAUGUAUGUUAUAUAACAUUCAAAAAGAAUUUUUUUCUUGAUUGAGAAAAGGAUACAAAAUGCAAAAUCCACAAUUUUGAUAACUGAAUAUUGCCAAUUGUUUUGCAGUACUUUAUUAUAUUGGGUGUCUUGUCUUUCUUGGGCUUUUAGUUACUUAGCUAAUGAAUGAAUUCACGUUAGACACUUUUGGGUUUUAGUUGGGAAUUUUACAUAGCUUGCAUUUUAAUUCUUUGGUUCUUUGCUGUUUCUAUUAACCCAUAGCAUUAUUUUAAUAAAUGUUAUAAUACCAACCUACUAACUCUGACUUUGUCUGUUUAUUAACCUUCACGUGUCUCAUUAAAC